rnacentral:rRNA from 1 species
GAUGAACGCUGGCGGCGUGCCUAAUACAUGCAAGUAGAACGCUGAAGGAAGGAGCUUGCUCUUUCCGGAUGAGUUGCGAACGGGUGAGUAACGCGUAGGUAACCUGCCUGGUAGCGGGGGAUAACUAUUGGAAACGAUAGCUAAUACCGCAUAACAGUAGAUGUUGCAUGAUAUCUACUUAAAAGGUGCAAUUGCACCACUACCAGAUGGACCUGCGUUGUAUUAGCUAGUUGGUGAGGUAACGGCUCACCUAGGCGACGAUACAUAGCCGACCUGAGAGGGUGAUCGGCCACACUGGGACUGAGACACGGCCCAGACUCCUACGGGAGGCAGCAGUAGGGAAUCUUCGGCAAUGGACGGAAGUCUGACCGAGCAACGCCGCGUGAGUGAAGAAGGUUUUCGGAUCGUAAAGCUCUGUUGUAAGAGAAGAACGAGUGUGAGAGUGGAAAGUUCACACUGUGACGGUAUCUUACCAGAAAGGGACGGCUAACUACGUG